rnacentral:rRNA from 1 species
CGUACCGCAAACCGACACAGGUAGAUGAGGAGAGAAUCCUAAGGCCGGCGGAAGAAUUGCAGUUAAGGAACUAGGCAAAUUGACCCCGUAAGUUAGCGAGAAGGGGUGCCUACGAGAGUAGGCCGCAGAGAAUAGGCCCAAGCAACUGUUUAGCAAAAACACAGGUCUCUGCUAAAGCGCAAGCUGAUGUAUAGGGGCUGACGCCUGCCCGGUGCUGGAAGG